rnacentral:rRNA from 1 species
GACGAACGCUGGCGGCGUGCUUAACACAUGCAAGUCGAACGGAAAGGCCCUGCUUUUGUGGGGUGCUCGAGUGGCGAACGGGUGAGUAACACGUGAGUAACCUGCCCUUGACUUUGGGAUAACUUCAGGAAACUGGGGCUAAUACCGGAUAGGAGCUCCUGCUGCAUGGUGGGGGUUGGAAAGUUUCGGCGGUUGGGGAUGGACUCGCGGCUUAUCAGCUUGUUGGUGGGGUAGUGGCUUACCAAGGCUUUGACGGGUAGCCGGCCUGAGAGGGUGACCGGCCACAUUGGGACGGAGAUACGGCCCAGACGCCUACGGGAGGCAGCAGUGGGGAAUAUUGCACAAGGGGCGGAAGCCUGAUGCAGCAACGCCGCGUGCGGGAUGACGGCCUUCGGGUUGUAAACCGCUUUCGCCUGUGACGAAGCGUGAGUGACGGUAAUGGGUAAAGAAGCACCGGCUAACUACG